rnacentral:rRNA from 1 species
GACGAACGCUGGCGGCGUGCCUAAUACAUGCAAGUCGAACGCAGUGGGGACGGGUGAGUAACACGUGGGUAACCUCCCAUCAGAGGGGAUAACACUUGGAAACAGGUGCUAAACCGAUAUUUAUGGGUGGACCCUCCGUGCAUUAGCUAGUUGGUGAGGUAACGGCUCACCAAGGGCACGAUUCAUAGCCGACCUGAGAGGGUGAUCGCCCACACUGGGACGGGGAAACGGCCCAGACUCCUACGGGAGCAAGCGGUAGGGAAGCUUCGGCAAUGGACGAAAGUCUGACCGAGCAACGCCGCGUGAGUGAAGCAGGUUUUCGGUUCGUAAAACUCUGUUGUUAGAGAAGCGGUAUCUAACCAGAAAGCCACGGCUAACUACGUGCCAGCCGCCGCGGUAAUAC